GACGAACGCUGGCGGCGUGCUUAACGCAUGCAAGUCGAACGGAAAGGCCCUGCUUUUGUGGGGUGCUCGAGUGGCGAACGGGUGAGUAACACGUGAGUAACCUGCCCUUGACUUUGGGAUAACUUCAGGAAACUGGGGCUAAUACCGGAUAGGAGCUCCUGCUGCAUGGUGGGGGUUGGAAAGUUUCGGCGGUUGGGGAUGGACUCGCGGCUUAUCAGCUUGUUGGUGGGGUAGUGGCUUACCAAGGCUUUGACGGGUAGCUGGCCUGAGAGGGUGACCGGCCACAUUGGGACUGAGAUACGGCCCAGACUCCUACGGGAGGCAGCAGUGGGGAAUAGUGCACAAUGGGAGGAAGCCUGAUGCAGCAACGCCGCGUGCGGGAUGACGGCCUUCGGGUUGUAAACCGCUUUCGCCUGUGACGAAGCGUGAGUGACGGUAAUGGGUAAAGAAGCACCGGCUAACUACGUG
rnacentral:rRNA from 1 species